rnacentral:rRNA from 1 species
UACGUAGGGUGCGAGCGUUGUCCGGAAUUAUUGGGCGUAAAGAGCUUGUAGGCGGUCUGUCGCGUCUGCUGUGAAAAUCCGGGGCUCAACCCCGGACUUGCAGUGGGUACGGGCAGACUAGAGUGUGGUAGGGGAGACUGGAAUUCCUGGUGUAGCGGUGAAAUGCGCAGAUAUCAGGAGGAACACCGAUGGCGAAGGCAGGUCUCUGGGCCACUACUGACGCUGGAGAAAGCGAAAGCAUGGGGAGCGAACAGG